AAAAGACUCGAGGAUCGCAGUGCGCGCCAUCACCGGCCACCACCAUUUUGUGGCAUUUCUACGUGUGCAGUGUACUGGGACGGACGUGCGUUUAACCAGCUAGAAGAAAAGAGGUUUUCAUCAGGGGUAACACGAUAUCCACUCAACGUAAGCAGACUCCCAAUCCUCGCUAAGUUCCACGCUCGAUGCAUCGCACCGAGAAAUCAUCCAUACGCGAAAAGCCGCUGCGGGAAUUCAAGAAAAUUCGUGGAAGUUUCCAUGGCGUCGGUUCGAUCGGCGGGAUUCUUAGCAACGCCCUUUAUUAUCUGCAUGUUUACGGAACCACAUCGAGACAUCGCAUCACCGAGACACAUCGAAUCACACCCGACUGAAUUCUAUUGUAACGUCCACGCAACCUACGAGGAUCUGCCGUGCAUCCUUUUUAGAUCACCUCGUGAUUUGUUUUUACGACGUGGGACCUGCCUCGCCGCACACAACGGCAUCGCAUCACCACCGCAAAAUGGCGGAACCCUUCCUUUUGCUCUCGAAUGCAAGCAUCACGCACCGCCGCCAUUUUACCCAUAGCGCCAAAGGGGGUGGUAUGGCUUCCUUUAUAUCGAAUUCAACGAACAAAAUGUCACGCUACCGUGAGUGGGAUCUUUCGUGCAAAGUAUACGUCGGUAAUCUGGGCAGUAGUGCCAGUAAGCAUGAAAUUGAGAGUGCAUUCAGCAAAUAUGGUCCCUUGAGAAAUGUAUGGGUUGCCAGAAACCCACCUGGAUUUGCUUUUGUGGAGUUUGAAGACUCGAGGGACGCUGAAGAUGCAGUAAGAGAACUUGAUGGAACACGUUGCUGUGGAACCAGAGUCAGGGUUGAGAUGUCCUCUGGAAGAAGUCGCCGUGGAGGUGGUGGUCGCAGACCAGGCCCAAGAUACUCUAGGUCCAGAUCGCGCAGUCCGCGUAGGAGACCUCUGGGUCGCUACCCCAGGUCCGGAUCAAGGAGUCCGCGAAGGUCGCCGAUUAACCGAUACUCCAGAUUCUACCAGCGUCAGCUCCUAGCUCUGCUCAUCUCCCCGCCACUACUACUACUACUACUACUGCUACUACUACUACUACAGCCACCGUGAAAAAAAAGUCUAGCAAUCAAAACCGAACAAAAAAAAUUGCCUGCCUGCCCACUAACCUCCCAACCAGUCACCAUCAGUCACCACCAGUCACCGGUAGGAGCCAAGUCGUCCGUCAGUUGACAGUCCGUAGCUGUCCGUCAGUCCGUCUGUUCCCCUACAAAAUGACUUCUUCAGGCUACCUUCUUCACCUCUAGCUACUAGGAGCAUCGUGAACCCACCGAACAGAGUCAACGCGAUACGAACGAAUACUUCUGUCAAAAACAAAUCGGCGCGUUCGUCCGUCCGUCAGUCCGUGCGCCCGUCCCAACUUCUACUACUACUGCUACUACUACUACUGCUACUUCUACUACUACCACCUACUACUACUCGUCCACCAUCACGUUUAACUUAGCUGACAAUGCGACCGCCACUUCUCUUCGAUCGAGCAAAGCAAAAUGAUCACGACCUACACACCAUCCCACCACAACCCAACCAACUACCAUCACAACCACCACAUGUUCACAGUUGUCUGAUCACGCUCUCGCAGUCCUCGCAGAAGGUCCCCGUCUCGUAGCCGCAGCCGAAACCGUCGUUCCCGUUCGGACUCGCGCGACAGACGUUAGGUGCUAAGAGUGUUCGAGAAAAUGGACGGACUUAAAGUGCCGGAUGGAAGAAAAAAAAUGAAAGAAAAGCUGUUUUAUUUGUAUAUAAACUGAAUAUCACGUACACGAUUCAAAAAAAACGAAGGACAGAAAUAAUAAAAAGAAAACGAAUCAAUUCAUAUGUGGAUAAAACUGACGCUGUAGCACUGAGUUAAACAUCUUUACACGCAUAACACAGGAAAACACAUCUCACGACAUAAUACGAUAUAUAAACACGUUCCACGUAUACGGAUACAGAAAAAUCUAUUAUUGUAGACACAGAGAAAGCAGUGAAAACUGUUCUAAGCGUAUGAGAAAACUUAUCAAUUGCAUUGACGGAUGCACAUUAUAUUAUAUAAAAUUUAUUUAGGCACAUCGGUAUAAGACAGUUCGAUCGGUCUCGAAGAAGAGGACCGGUCGAUUGGACAAUUAGAUACGUGAUUAAUGUUUGAAGAAGGCAACAACACAAAAAACAAAAGAAGCAAACGCAGUUGUUUUACGUUGUAUUAAUUAUUUUGUACUCUUACGAAUUUAAGAUUUAAAAAUAAACCUGUAACGUAUCGUA